AUGAUUUUCGCUUUGCAUGUAGACUCCAUUUUGGGAACUCGCAAUGCGAUGUCUUACUUCCUAACCUCAUUAUCAGCUUACGUUUUCCCUUAUCUUUUCGUGUUACAAUUGUUUAGCGCAAUGCAGUUCUUUAGGAAAAAAGGUGUUCUCCCUACCAUACUGUUUAUUGUCCCCAAACAUGCCAACCCCAAAAAAUUGCCCAACCUAUACCUGUAUAGUGGAACCGAUGUAUCUGAUGAUCCUGCCACUAUAUUUCUGCACCAGUUUGCUGUGAAGAUGUCCCUAAGCUUCUGGUCUCCUCUGAAUCCUGUUGCCAGAAUUAUAAUAUCACUCUUUAUGCUUUCAUUUCCAUCCUCCAGGUUGAUCCCAUCACUGCAGAAGCUGAACCUCUUUGAUUUCUUUAGAAUAAUGCUGCCAUCAUCAACCCUGUCAUAA
rnacentral:rRNA from 1 species